rnacentral:rRNA from 1 species
UUUCGCUUCGGUUUUUCUUUUUCUUUUUUCUCGCUUCGGUCUGUUUGUCCGGUCUGGUUCUCGCGGCGCAGGUGGUGGCGGCCGUGGUGGUGGGAGCCGCGCGCGCGCGCCCCUAGCUAGGGACGGGGGCUUGAGCGCGGGCGCGCGGGCCAUCAACACGGGCGACGUAGACGCGACUGACCCUGGGGCAGCUAGGCCGGCUGCGCACCCCAAACCAACCCAAACCCGACCCAACCAGGGAAGGGCUCCUAGGUAAAAAUCAACCUAAGGGCCCAGGGAAGCGCCCCGAUGAUCUAAGGGCCCCCUCGCCUACCUAAACCGCAGCCAGUUGCUCCUCGAGCGGCUCUAGCUGCCCGUCUAGCGGCUGUAGAAGGCGCGUAACGUUUUACCCAAGGUCUUCGAGCUGUUCUAGUUCCUACGGUUGGCGGCCUCGUCCGUCGAGCUUCUCGAAUGACUGUUCUACGCUCUGACGUUUUCCGAAUAGUUUCUAAAACUUGCUCAACAGUUCCUACUUCGUCCUUCACAACUAGGCUUGUGAAGAUUUAAAGACUUGCUCUCUUUCGUCAGUGACUAGUUCCUUAACUUGAGAAUACAACGAGACUUCUUUGUUGUACGUUCACUUUUAUUCGCUCAACUAGAAAAACUACGAGGUUCACCACUUCUACGGAAACCACUUCUUUUACAAGACAAUCGUAGAUUAUACUGUUUGGUCGUCGAUUACGUCGUACCUCUGUUAGAUUACCUACUCUGACUAGUUCGAGAGCGUGCUAGAUUUGUCUGACAGGUUCUCUGCUAGUUACACCCAUGGCUUUGACGUCGACGAGACUUUCGUGUCUGUCUCGUUUACUCGUCCCAACAAUUGCUCGACCUAAGGUAAGUAAAGAGGUACUUUUUCCGUAGUUUUAACCACUUUCUUUAACCAUCCGUCCAACGCUGACUAGCGACGUAGUACCCGAACGAAAAAGAGUAACAGCGACCUCAGUAUCGACAUUAGUAACAAUUCUAACAUUUGGGUGUGUUGUUUCUAUAAGGACUGGAGGGGCCCGAGCGAGGUGGCCAGUCGUCUUCCGACAACAGGUAACAUCUCUUGUUCACUCAUAGGUGUGUGGUGUUCACAUUUUAUGGGACUACUCCGUGGCACACGCCAGCGAACCUUCAAGGAACUUAGUACGGCGUGUGUGCAACAUUUGAACAUUACGACGGCAUGGUAGGGUACCCUGGGCACGCGAUUUGGCUUCCAACGGUUUGGUGACAUUUUAACAUGAGGGAGGCAAGGUUUUAUUCACAGAAUUUGAAACAUGAUUGAAAUCAUAUUUCAACAUGAACUCAACUCUGUGAAUAAACCCUGUCUCCCUCAUACAACAAUAAGAGAACUGUUCGUCCGUCCAAACAAAGACCGUUCCUGGUAUACAAGGGACACUUUUGUAACUGUAGACAUAUGAAAUGUGUCUGUAGACCUUAGUACCGUCACUAUCUGUUCUGUUAUGAACUUAAAACGUUUAUUUUAGAGUCUGACACGAAAAUGACUACACAUCACCCAUCAGGUAGAGAACGCCCCGUCGAAUAGUCUGAGUUCCUAGCACCUACCAGGUGAAACUCGGAAACCAGAACGUUCCUUAAAAUACCGUGGACUCCGGCGGAAAAGGGUCAAGUUCGACGGGCUAAAAGCGUGGGAAUCGUCAGUUUUCCACAGCUCUUCGGCAGUAUUCUAGAGUGAACUAGGUACCACGAAAGUUGCGGCCAGACGUGAUCGAGAUCUACCACGUGGUAAAUGUGAUAGAGCAUGAGGGAGACAAGAAUUUAUAUUCAAAAACAUUUCUAAAGUGCCACCUGGUAAAUGCUAAAACGAGUCAUACAUUAAGUACUACCCUAGAGAUGCUUCUGAAUAUAAAUCCUUGUCUCCCCAUGAUAUUGG